rnacentral:rRNA from 1 species
UUGUGCCAGCAGCCGCGGUAAUACGUAGGGUGCAAGCGUUAAUCGGAAUUACCGGGCGUAAAGCGUGUGCAGGCGGUUCGCUAAGACAGAUGUGAAAUCCCCGGGCUUAACCUGGGAACUGCAUUUGUGACUGGCGGGCUAGAGUAUGGCAGAGGGGGGUAGAAUUCCACGUGUAGCAGUGAAAUGCGUAGAGAUGUGGAGGAAUACCGAUGGCGAAGGCAGCCCCCUGGGCCAAUACUGACGCUCAAGCACGAAAGCGUGGGGAGCAAACAGGAUUAGAUACCCUGGUAGUCCACGCCCUAAACGAUGUCAACUAGUUGUCGGGUCUUCAUUGACUUGGUAACGUAGCUAACGCGUGAAGUUGACCGCCUGGGGAGUACGGUCGCAAGAUUAAAACUCAAAGGAAUUGACGGGA